AGUCCAUGAUGUGAACAUUUCCAUUACAACUCUUUGUACCCCUCCCAAGGCUCAUAUGAUGAUUCACCAUCCUACUGACCAAAACUUGAUAUUUCCAUGCGUAGUUU